CAAAGAAGGCUAAAACGACGUCAGAUUGGGAUUUGCCUGAUGCUACUCCUGGUAUUGGGCGUUGGGAUGCUACUCCUACGCCAGGGAGAGUUUCUGAUGCCACCCCAUCAGUUGGGAGGAGGAAUAGAUGGGAUGAGACACCAACACCUGGGCGUUUGGCUGAUUCAGAUGCAACCCCAGCAGGUGGAGUUACUCCAGGGGCCACCCCAGCUGGGGUUACAUGGGAUGCUACUCCAAAGGGAUUGGUUACUCCCACGCCGAAACGGCAGAGAUCUAGGUGGGAUGAGACUCCUGCAACCAUGGGAAGUGCGACUCCGAUGGCAGGGGCUACACCAGCGGUUCCUCUUACACCUGGGGUUACUCCUUUUGGUGGUACUGAUUUGCAGACACCAACCCCAAGUAAUCUUCGUGGGCCUAUGACUCCUGAGCAGUAUAAUUUGUUGAGG
rnacentral:lncRNA from 1 species